AAGGAUUCCCUCAGUACGGGCGACGGAAGCGGGAAAAGCCCACAUUGGUAAUCUCCGGGCGCUAGCUCGGCGAAUUGUAAUCUGAAGAUCGUUAGUCUAAUUGGGCCCGACGCCGAAGUGCGCGCGAGCGCGCCGCCAAAGAGGGUGAGAGCCCCGUCAGGCGCUGGGUGUUACAAAGGCUGGCAAUCGAAGAGUCGUGUACUUUGAUACUAGUGCACCAAGCGGGAGAUAAACUUCUUCUAAGGCUAAAUAUAAGUAGGAAACCGAUAGCGAACAAGUACUGUGAAGGAAAGAUGAAAAGCACUUUGGAAAGAAAGUUAAAAGACUUGAAAUCGUUGAGGCGGACCCGGUAGAAAUGUAUUCUAGCGACGCGCCCUGGGAAGCCUGUAUUCGGGCCACUUGGGCGUUAGCCGAGACAAGAUGGAGUCGCAUCAUGCCAGAGGCGGUGUGCUUUGUAGCUUGCUAUAGAGCGCGCUGGCCGGGUGUGGCGCGGCUUGAGGGGCCUUGUGCGAUCUUGUCAAAAUGGUUUUUACCGACUCGUCUUGAAACACGAACCAAGGAGUCUAAGACUAACGCGAGUGUGGUGGUGGAGAAACCAACACGCGAAAUGAAAGUAAAUGAUGCCAAGCUCCCUGCAGCAUCGGCCGACUUUUUUCUUCUGGAAGAGGUUUGAGUAAGAGCGUUAUUCUUAGGACCCGAAAGAUGGUGAAACUAU
rnacentral:rRNA from 1 species